rnacentral:rRNA from 1 species
GUCCACGCUGUAAACGAUCAAUACUAGGUGUGCGGGGACUAACCCCCUGCGUGCCGCAGCUAACGCAAUAAGUAUUGCACCUGGGGAGUACGAUCGCAAGGUUGAAACUCAAAGGAAUUGACGGGGGCCCGCACAAGCGGUGGAUUAUGUGGUUUAAUUCGAAGCAACGCGAAGAACCUUACCAGGACUUGACAUGGGGAUGACCGCUCUAGAGAUAGAGCUUUCCUUCGGGACAUCCCACACAGGUGGUGCAUGGUUGUCGU